UACGUAGGGGGCAAGCGUUGUCCGGAUUUAUUGGGCGUAAAGAGCGUGUAGGCGGCCAGGCAGGUCCGUUGUGAAAACUCGAGGCUCAACCUCGAGACGUCGAUGGAAACCGUCUGGCUAGAGUCCGGAAGAGGAGAGUGGAAUUCCUGGUGUAGCGGUGAAAUGCGUAGAGAUGUGGAGGAACACCAAUGGCGAAGGCAGCCCCCUGGGUCGAUACUGACGCUCAUGCACGAAAGCGUGGGUAGCAAACAGG
rnacentral:rRNA from 1 species